rnacentral:lncRNA from 1 species
UAGGGAGGGCUGGUGACUUGUCUUUGACUCACUGAAUCCAUCUCAGCACUUUUUUGACAAUCAUAUUUUCUGUCUUUACUGUCUCUGAGGCUUGGGCUUUUCAUUUGUUUCUUUUAUUUAUUUAUUUAUUUCUAGAGAUGGGGGUCUCACUAUAUUGCCCAGGCUGGCCUUGAACUCCUAGGCUCAAGCGAUCUUCCUGCCUCAGCCUCGCACCUGGGAUUACAGGUGUGAGCCACCACCACCCUUGGCAUUUUUUUUUUUUGAGUGGGUUUUUCUUUUUUCUUUUUUUUUUUUUCUUUUUUGGCAGAGUCUAGCUCUGUUGCCCAGGCUGGAGUGCAGUGGUGCGAUUUCGGCUCACUGCAACCACCACCUCCCAGGUUCAAGUGAUUUUCCUGCUUCAGCUUCCUGAGUAGCUGGGAUUAAAGGCGCUCACCACCAUGCCCAGCUAAUUUUAGAGUGGGUUUUUCUCGAGACACUUUCUGUACCCAUUCAUUACAUUUGUUUUGGGAAAGGAAAUAAACAAACCAGUGGUGGAUGGAGGGCAGUGGGAAAGUGAAUAAUCCGGCUAAUAGUGAACUAACCAAGGUCAAGCUGCUUGGAAUCAGAGGAAGAUGACUCCUGCCUCCUCCUCCCAAAAAUUCAAGUCAAGAGUUGAUUCUAAUCCUCUGCAGAAUCUGUCCUUCAAGUCAGACCUGCUUUGGAGGAACAGAAGGGCCUAGAUAAUUUCUUAACAUUUGAGAAAAAUUAUAAUUUGAUAAAGACAUUUUAUAUUCCUGGUGGCAGCAGUUCAUCUGUAGAAAUGAUUUGAGGUCUGGGGGAAAAUAGCUAUGUUGAAAAAAGAGUUGCUGAGACACUGAAAAGGACAACGUGAGCAAAACUUAAUUAGGAGUAAAGGCUAAUGGAAUGGAAAGGGAGGCAGGAUAAGUUCAUUUUAUUAAUAAUAAACCUGAACUUAGGGAAGGGAGAGCAGAUGGAAAGAAAGGAACGCGUAAUGCGUUGUUUCAUUUCCUCUGAAUAAAGUGUGGUGUGCUGAAAUGUAACAAGAUUAUCCAUCUGCUUUUGUCUAAAUAAAUUCAGGGUUUUCACAAACGUAGUGAAUUUUCAGCUUGUAAUUUGCUGUCUCCGGUGAGCGCGGUGCUGAGAAGACCCGUGAUGCUCUCUUUGAAGCCCAUUUGCGGCAUGCCCCAGGCCUGGGACCUCCAUUAAGCACCAGGGCCUCGCCAAGCACCGGUGAGAACGCUGGAGUCGUGGGGCUCUCAGCCUGGGUGGGAUGCUCCAUCACGGCAGCUGCCCGGGGGCUGCAUGGCACAGGGUAGUGGAGAAGGAGAGUGGUCUGGAUUUAAGGGAUGGGGCUAGAGCUGCAGGAUGGCUCUCUUUAUUUGCAUACUUUGGAGUAAGAUGAAAAGCUCUUCGCACCUCAUUCACCACUCAUUUACUUCUAUGCCUUUAUUCACAAAGUUUUCUCUACCAGAAAUUCCAUCUCUCCUCUACUUCUCCCCCCUAAAUUCUAUAGUUUUUAAAAGUCACUUAUUUCCAAGUGCCUUCUUCAAUGGCGUUGGAACACACAGAUUUAUUUCUCAUAUCCUGGAACUGUUGCUCUGUUACUUGGUGAAUUCAACCGUUCAAGCAGUUAUUUAAUUCCCUGCUUUGCUUCUUCACCUUCUAUGUGUGUAUGUUUUUAGUUUUGAAUAUGACUGUAACUUCCUCCUCUUUCCUUCCUUUGACAGAUAUUUGUUGAGUACCUUCCAUUUGCUAAAUACUGUGCUUUGAAGGCACUGGGAAUUCAAUGAUGAGCAAAGUAGAUAUGGUCCUUGACCUCAUGGAGCUUGAGGGAAAAUGAAGAAGACAUUCACCUAGUAAAGAGGUGAUUCUCAAAGAAUCUUCUGGCAAACUUGUUAAAAAGUGUGACACUCAGGGCCGUAUUUCUGAUCAUCCCAGUCACAUCUCUGAGGAUGGUGCUUUAGAAUCUGUCCUCUUGUGUCCGGAAUUGGUUCCUUCCGUGGGUUCUUGGUCUCGCUGACUUCAAGAAUGAAGCCGCGGACCCUCGUGGUGAGUGUUACAGUUCUUAAAGAUGGUGUGUCGGGAGUUUGUUCCUUCAGAUGUUCAGAUGUGUCCCAAGUUUUUUUCUUCUGAUGGGUCCUUGGUCUUGCUGACUUCAGGAGUGAAGCUGCAGACCUUCUCAGUGAAUGUUACAGCUCUCAAAGAUGGCACGUGCAGAGUUGUUCCUUCCUCCUGGUGGGUUCAUGGUCUUGCUGACUUCAGGAAUGAAGCCGCAGACUUUCGCAGUGAGUGUUACAGCUCUUAAACGUGGCACACUUCUGGCACGCUUUGCUCCUCCCGGUGGGUUGCUGGUCUCGCUGACUGCAGGAGUGAAGCUGCAGACCUUCGCGGUGAGUGUUACAGUCAUAAAGGUAGUGCAGACCCAAAGAAUAAGCAGCAGCAAGAUUUAUUGCUAAGAACAAAGCUUCCACAUCGUGGAAAGGCACCUAAG